rnacentral:misc_RNA from 1 species
AAAAAUAAUAAUUGUUACUAUAUUAAAAAACUUUAAAAAAAUCUAGAAAUGAUGCUAAAAUAAACAAAUGAUAAUAAUUUUGAUGAAUUAAAAAGAAAUAUUUUAAAUUGUAAAACUUUUAUAUAUGUAAAAUCAUAGAAUCGUAAAUUCGUAAAAUCAAGUUGUUUAAAAUUCGAUUUUACUAUUUAAAAUCGCGAUUUUACCUCAAUUUUACUUGAUUUUGAUUUUACAUACGUUUUAACUCAUUUUAAUGAUUCUAACUUGUAAAAUCGUAAAAUCAUAUGCGUUAACUCGCAAUUUUAAUAACUAUGUAUCGAAGAGCAGUAGUUAACUAACUCACCGAUGCUCUCUUUCUUUGCAAAUUCAAUACCUGAACCCAGCAUCCAUAACCCGCAGAAGAGGAGAACAGCAUCACAUAGUGACCAUAUUAGAGUUCUUAGUUUAGUAAUGAUGGAUGGAAAUUAGUUAAAAUUAAAAAAGAAAAUCAGUGGGAUCAACACAUGUACAAGAACAUCAUGCAUUUUAAAUUAAACAAUGCAGAGAAAGAUCAUGUCUGCUAAAACUGCCACCCCGCACCCAGUAACCAGUAGAAAUUGCUCAUCUUCCUUAUCAGAUUUUGACUCAUAAAAAUUCGUUGGAAAUACCAUUUACAUAACUCAUUUUUCCUUUGGAUUUUUCUUCCCGUUUUCCUUUUGAAAAUGAAUAGUAAUGUAGUGUAACUUUCUAUGGAUUCAAAAUAUCAUACUAUAUAUUCACCAAGAAAAAAAAAAACAUGUUAAAAAAUGAUUCUAAAAAGCCCAAGCUUUUGAACACCUUGGAAUUAGUACCAGAUGUCCAGCCUAAUAUGUGUGCAGUUCAAAUACAUUGCUUUUCUUAAAUUGCAUAAUUCCACCCGGUGACUACUAAGAUUACCAUUUGCAUUGGUAGGAAAAAGAUAAAUUAAAAACUGUAAGAACAGGUAACGAGAUACAUAAAAGCAUAAUAAGCUUGUACUAUUGGUUCUUUGCUCAUAAGUAGCCAGUUGAAAGUUACGGACCAUAAAUCUAGUAUUUUAUUUCUAAAUAUAGUAUCCAUUCAACAGCUAAACCACAAAUCUUUAUAAAUUCAAAGCAAAUAACAGAAAAUAUUCUUUCCCAAGCAAAGACAAUGUUCUAUUGUGCCUAUUUGUCCUUUUAGUUGUAUUUUCCUGUGAUAAAAUAAGUUAAAAAUGCCCAACAGGCACGUAACAACAACACAAGAAUUAACAGAAGAAAUAGUUAGAAAAACACUCAGAACAAAUAAUCAAGGAACAUUAAUCAGUCUACAAAAAACAAUUGAAUGCAAUCGCUGAAGGUAAUGCUUCUUGCAAAGUGAAAAUCAGAUCCAUUUAAAAAAAGAUCAUAUUAAGAAAAAGAAAAAGAAAAUAACCCAUGGGUCAUCUUCACUAACAAGAGAGAGAAAAGAAAGAGAGAGACAGAGAGGCAACAUGACCCAUUAUCACGCUAGCAAUAAAAAUGACACCAGUGAAAUUUGCCGAUUCAUCCAAAAUAAAUACAUAAAAAUAUCUGAUGGUAACAAAUAAACCAAAAAAUAAAGGUAAAAAAAGGAAAAGGAAAAAAAAAUCAGCGACCAUUAGUUAGCCACCUGCAAAUCACCACAUCAAUUACUACACUCCCCCAUAAACAUAUUCACAGCAAAUUAAAUACAUAGAAUCACGGCAAAUUAAAAGGAACAAAGAGCACAAACCUCGGAUUAGUGGUUGUCAAUCACAAGAACCACUGAAUUAAAUUUGAAGACUUGCAUCCAAACCUCGGGUUAAAAAGAAAGAACCAAGAACAAGAAUUUUCCACUCAUUAAGUGGACCCAGAAACACAAAUUACAAGCUCUACUAAUAACCAACAAUCAAAUUCAAAACCAUAACUGAUAGCUGACGCAAACGAUGCUGUACAACAACAACAACUAAGCCUUA